AGGACGAACGCUGGCGGCGUGCCUAACACAUGCAAGUCGAACGAGGUCCAACCGGUAGCAAUACCGGUGAAGAUCAAGUGGCGAACGGGUGAGUAGCACGUGAGCAACCUGCCCCGAAGACCGGGACAACACCGGGAAACCGGUGCUAAUACCGGAUAUCCCCACCGAGUCGCAUGGCUCAGUGAGGAAAUGGAUUCCGCUUCGGGAGGGGCUCGCGGCCUAUCAGCUAGUUGGUGAGGUAACGGCUCACCAAGGCUUCGACGGGUAGCUGGUCUGAGAGGACGAUCAGCCACACUGGGACUGAGACACGGCCCAGACUCCUACGGGAGGCAGCAGUGGGGAAUCUUGCACAAUGGGCGAAAGCCUGAUGCAGCAACGCCGCGUGAGGGACGAAGGCUUUCUGAGUUGUAAACCUCUUUCAGCAGGGACGAUUGUGACGGUACCUGCAGAAGAAGCCCGGCAACGUACGUGCCAGCAGCCGCGGUAA
rnacentral:rRNA from 1 species